GGUGUCUCAAUGGUAGAGCGCUUGCCUUGCAUGCAUGAGGCCGUGGUUCAAUUCCUCAGCACCA
rnacentral:tRNA from 1 species